CAGAGUAUCAAUUGGAGGGCAAGUCUGGUGCCAGCAGCCGCGGUAAUUCCAGCUCCAAUAGCGUAUAUUAAAAUUGUUGCAGUUAAAAAGCUCGUAGUUGAAUUUCUGCUGCAUUACAUAUCUCUUGUUUGAGUUUGUUUUUGUGGCUUAUUUCGGUUUGAUUUUUUCUUUCCGGAUGAUUACUUUGAGAAAAUUAGAGUGCUCAAAGCAGGCUUUUGCCUUGAAUAGUUUAGCAUGGAAUAAUAAAGUAGGACUUUGGUUCUAUUUUGUUGGUUUUAGGUACCAAAGUAAUGGUUAAUAGGAACAGUUGGGGGCAUUCGUAUUUAACUGUCAGAGGUGAAAUUCUUAGAUUUGUUAAAGACGAACUACUGCGAAAGCAUUUGCCAAGGAUGUUUUCAUUAAUCAAGAACGAAAGUUAGGGGAUCGAAGACGAUCAGAUACCGUCGUAGUC
rnacentral:rRNA from 1 species